rnacentral:rRNA from 1 species
GACGAACGCUGGCGGCGUGCUUAACACAUGCAAGUCGAACGGUGAAGCGCCUUCCUUUUUGGUGGGUGUGGAUGAGUGGCGAACGGGUGAGUAACACGUGAGUAACCUGCCCCCUUCUUCUGGAUAACCGCAUGAAAGUGUGGCUAAUACGGGAUAUUCUGGGUCUGUCGCAUGAUGGGUCUGGGAAAGAUAUUGUUUCGGUGGGGGAUGGGCUCGCGGCCUAUCAGCUUGUUGGUGGGGUGAUGGCCUACCAAGGCGGUGACGGGUAGCCGGCCUGAGAGGGUGGACGGUCACACUGGGACUGAGACACGGCCCAGACUCCUACGGGAGGCAGCAGUGGGGAAUAUUGCACAAUGGGCGCAAGCCUGAUGCAGCGACGCCGCGUGAGGGAUGGAGGCCUUCGGGUUGUGAACCUCUUUCGCCAGUGAAGCAGGCCUGCCUCGUUUGUGGGUGGGUUGACGGUAGCUGGAUAAGAAGCGCCGGCUAACUAUGUG